rnacentral:rRNA from 1 species
GAUGAACGCUGGCGGCGUGCUUAACACAUGCAAGUCGAGCGAAGCACUUAAGUCUGAUUCUUCGGACGAAGACUUUUGUGACUGAGCGGCGGACGGGUGAGUAACGCGUGGGUAACCUGCCUCAUACAGGGGGAUAACAGUUAGAAAUGACUGCUAAUACCGCAUAAGACCACGGUACCGCAUGGUACAGUGGUAAAAACUCCGGUGGUAUGAGAUGGACCCGCGUCUGGUUAGGUAGUUGGUAGGGUAACGGCCUACCAAGCCGACGAUCGGUAGCCGGCCUGAGAGGGUGACCGGCCACAUUGGGACUGAGACACGGCCCAGACUCCUACGGGAGGCAGCAGUGGGGAAUAUUGCACAAUGGAGGAAACUCUGAUGCAGCGACGCCGCGUGAAGGAUGAAGUAUUUCGGUAUGUAAACUUCUAUCAGCAGGGAAGAAAAUGACGGUACCUGACUAAGAAGCCCCGGCUAACUACGUGCCAGCCGCCGCCGUAA